UGGGGAAUUUUGGACAAUGGGCGAAAGCCUGAUCCAGCAAUGCCGCGUGUGUGAAGAAGGCCUUCGGGUUGUAAAGCACUUUUGUCCGGAAAGAAAUCCUUGGCUCUAAUACAGUCGGGGGAUGACGGUACCGGAAGAAUAAGCACCGGCUAACUACGUGCCAGCAGCCGCGGUAAUACGUAGGGUGCAAGCGUUAAUCGGAAUUACUGGGCGUAAAGCGUGCGCAGGCGGUUUGCUAAGACCGAUGUGAAAUCCCCGGGCUCAACCUGGGAACUGCAUUGGUGACUGGCAGGCUAGAGUAUGGCAGAGGGGGGUAGAAUUCCACGUGUAGCAGUGAAAUGCGUAGAGAUGUGGAGGAAUACCGAUGGCGAAGGCAGCCCCCUGGGCCAAUACUGACGCUCAUGCACGAAAGCGUGGGGAGCAAACAGGAUUAGAUACCCUGGUAGUCCACGCCCUAAACGAUAUCAACUAGUUGUUGGGGAUUCAUUUCCUUAGUAACGUAGCUAACGCGUGAAGUUGACCGCCUGGGGAGUACGGUCGCAAGAUU
rnacentral:rRNA from 1 species